rnacentral:lncRNA from 1 species
CAAAAUGACUUCCAUCACAAACCUCCUCAACCUUACCCUCUUAGCCCCUCGAUGUGGGCUACGUGUUACCCCCAGAACAUCAGGGAGGCUGGCUCUCUGUUCAAAGACUUACAACCGCGCCGCCGCUUUCUAACCAGUUGAGGUGCUCUUCUAUCCCUGGCCCCUCUGUCCCAACAGGUGGGUACCUUACUUGGUUGCCGCAGGGCGCCGAGCCCGUGGAGCUGAGCGUGAAGGUCAGCGACCCGCUCAUCAGCUCCCUGUUCAGCCCGGUCCUCCAGGUGUGCAACUGCCUCAACGGGGGCACCUGCCAGUACGACGCCAUCACCCACAACUACCUGCAGGGCAAAUUCCAGGUGGUGGGCUGUCUGUGUCCGGAGGGCUUCAGCGGGGAGUUCUGCAGGGUGGUCUGGGACCCGUGUCUGGGCAAUCCGUGUUUCCCAGGCGUGGAUUGUCUGCCCGGGGCCGAGCCAGAGAGCUUCUCCUGCGGAGAGUGUCCCUCGCCCAAUGUCUACCAGGGCAAACAAGGCUACAAGUGCUUCCAGAAGGACUUUUGCCUGCCUCCCUCCCCUUUUCCCUGCCAUGAGAUGUCUGACUGCGACAACAAUGGCUACAGCUACUCUUGCAAGUGUAAACCUGGCUACACCGGGGACGGAUUUAAUUGCACAGACAUCGACGAGUGUCAGGACCCCUCUGCCUGCCCCAACGCCAAGUUUGAGUGCAUGAACCGGCCCGGUUCUGUGCACUGCUCCUGUAGGUACCAGAAGAGUAUGGCGGCUGAUGGCUGUGGUGAGUCAGCAAACCCUCCAGGUUUUAAUGUGUUUAACGUCUCCAUGGACUGGAAGGAUCCCGCACAGGAUAUGCUGACACAGUUGGAGGAGAUCCUGUCGGUGGGCUUCCAGAACAAGUUCUACAACGCCAGCAUUAAGGGCCCGCGGCAGGGGUCCGGGCCGGGGGCCGGGGAGUACCGCAUCAACGUGUCAAGCGACACACCCGCAUGGUACAUCCAGGAAUACCUGGGACGCGUGGGCCGCUUCUACGGCAUCGGCCUUCCCGAGGUCGGAGAUCUGGAUGAGUGCGCGGCCAAGGAGGCCGCGUGCGCGUGGCCGGCCCUCUGCGCCAACACCUACGGCGGCUACAGGUGCGUGUGCAACGGCACCACCGAGGUGGACGAGUCCCAGGCCUGCGUGUUGGGCAGUCAGGUUAUCCAAGCAGGGAACCAGAGCAGUGUGGUGGAGCCCCUGGAGGGGGACAACACAGCCCUGAUCCUGGGCCUGGUGCUGGGCAUUGGCAUCCCCUUCCUGCUGCUGCUGCUCGCCCUGUUGUGCUUCUGCUGCUGCUGCCCCCGCAAAAAGACCGCCCCCAGAGAGUGAGUAGGACACGCACGCACUUGGGGCCGCACACACACACACACACACACACGCAAAAACACAAACUCAAAAAUGUACAAUCACACACACACACACACACACACACACACACACACACACACACACACACACACACACACACACACACACACACACACACACACACACACACACACACACACACACACACACACUCUCACACCCACACAUUACCACCAACACCCACGCACCACAAUUCCAUAAUCCCAAUAAUCGAGGGUGACUCAUGCAUUGGAAUUGAUUCGGUGUCUGAGUAGGAUGUUUGGAGUCCACAACUUAAAGGUUAAAAAACAAACAAAGCGCAAACACGACCACUGCCGCAGAGGCGCACUAAUGUGGGUAUGUGUAUGCACACACAUGCAUCUGUGUGUGGCACAUAUCCAUACACAAGUGCAUGGUCAGCCACACACCGGCCUAGUGGGUCCUAGGAGUCUGUAGCUGCAGGUAGCGGGGAACGCAGAUGGCUAUGGUAUGACUCUGCUGCGCUUCUCAUCUGUCAGCGCAUGGACUGCCCACUCUCGUACUAUAUUAAACUAAAAGCUCUACCUACUGACAACACUGGGCUGCAUGCGAGUUAUAAAACUGUUCCCAUGUAUCAGUCCAGAACACUUUGUUGUAGAAGACAGAGGAUGACUAAGGCUUGGUGACGUGCAGUGAAAUGCUGAAAGGUGUUUGGAACACCAACCUAAUAACUGUAUAAUUAAAUGUUAUAGAAUUAUCAUUGCAUAGGAUCUUCGUAACGUCAUAGUGUUGAUAUCUUCUAAUAUUGCUUUUGUUAUUAGCAGCAGUUCUAGUGGUAGUAGUUAGGAUGAGGAGUAGGGGAAACCACACUGAACUGAAUGGUAUGUACUUUCAUUCAUCUUUAAUACAGUAUAAGUAAGUGUUGUGGCGUGCGUGUACACACGC